rnacentral:rRNA from 1 species
GCUCACCAAGGCAGCGACGGAUAGGUGGUCUGAGAGGAUGGUCACCCACACUGGGACUGAGACACUGCCCAGACUCCUACGGGAGGCUGCAGUCGAGAAUCUUCCGCAAUGCGCGAAAGCGUGACGGAGCGAUGCCGCGUGCCGGAUGAAGGCCUUCGGGUCGUAAACGGCUGUCACCCGGAACGAAUAUUGACGGCACCGGGAGAGGAAGCCACGGCUAACUACGUGCCAGCAGCCGCGGUAAUACGUAGGUGGCUAGCGUUAUUCGGAUUUAUUGGGCGUAAAGGGUUCGUAGGGGGCCGAGUAAGUCUGAUGUGAAAUCCAACGGCCCAACCGUUGAACUGCAUUGGAUACUACCCGGCUAGAGUACUGGAGAGGUAAGCAGAAUUCCUGGUGUAGCGGUGGAAUGCGUAGAUAUCAGGAGGAAUACCGACGGCGAAGGCAGCUUACUGGACAGUUACUGACCCUCAUGAACGAAAGCUAGGGGAGCAAACAGGAUUAGAUACCCUGGUAGUCCUAGCUGUAAACGUUGUUCACUAGAUGUAGGCGGAUUGGUCCCGUCUGUGUCCAAGCUAACGUGAUAAGUGAACCGCCUGGGGAGUACGGCCGCAAGGCUAAAACUCAAAGGAAUUGACGGGGGCCCGCACAAGCGGUGGAGCAUGUGGCUUAAUUCGAGGCAACGCGAAGAACCUUACCUGGGUUUGACAUAUAUCUGACCGCCAUGGAAACAUGGUUUCUCUUCGGAGCGGAUAUACAGAUGCUGCAUGGCUGUCGUCAGCUCGUGCCGUGAGGUGUUCGGUUAAGUCCGGCAACGAGCGCAACCCGUGCUGCUAGUUACCAGCGAGUAAUGUCGGGGACUCUAGCAGGACUGCCCGUGCUAAGCGGGAGGAAGGCGCGGACGACGUCAAGUCAGUAUGGCUCUUACACCCAGGGCUGCACACGUGCUACAAUGACCGGUACAAUGGGAUGCCACUCUGCGAAGAGGCGCCAAUCUCUAAAACCGGCCCCAGUUCAGAUUGGAGUCUGCAACUCGACUCCAUGAAGUCGGAAUCGCUAGUAAAGGCGUAUCAGCAACGACGCCUUGAAUACGUUCCCGGGCCUUGUACACACCGCCCGUCACAUCAUGGAAGCCUGUUGCACCCGAAGUCGCUGACCGAACC